UACGGAGGGUGCAAGCGUUGUCCGGAAUCACUGGGCGUAAAGGGCGCGUAGGCGGCUCAUGAAGGCUGUGGUGAAAGUCCGGGGCUCAACCUCGGAUCGGCCGUGGCGACUCGUGGGCUGGAGCACUGUAGAGGCGGGUGGAAUUCCGGGUGUAGCGGUGGAAUGCGUAGAGAUCCGGAAGAACACCAGUGGCGAAGGCGGCCCGCUGGGCAGGUGGCUGACGCUGAGGCGCGACAGCCGU
rnacentral:rRNA from 1 species